UCCCUGUGUAUUUUUUUUUCUUCACUUCUGAACACAAAAGGUGAUUUUAGUCAAGUUUGUCCUGCUGGUUUCUGUUCAUACAAUAUCAGUGAAUGGAGCCUGAUUUUGUAGACGCUUCAUGACAUUAUUUGAUGAUGCUUUUGAAGCUUAUGAAAUUUGGGCUCCAAUGUAUGAACAGAAACCAGCAGAACAAACUUGACCAAAAUCACAUCCUCAAUAUCCUUUGGUCUUUUUCUAGAUGUUCUCGCUGGCUCUGGGCUCACUGAGGAUGAAGAAAUCAUAGCAACAUCUGGGCCAGAUGUUGCAAUAAGGGCAGGUGGAGUGAUGGAGGGUCUCAUCCACGGCACUACACCAUUUCCAGGAUCUGCUGUGACUCUCAUCCUCGGUUCUCCCUGAUUUUGUUCCCAAAUGCUGCCGUCACCUUGCCCUGCAGGGCUCCCACCUGUGCGUCAUGGCAGCACAAUAGCCAGGUUGGAGCAGCAGCUGUUAAUAUACCAACUAAAGGAGCUACCAUAUGACUUUGGUGUGUGCAGUUUUGAGUGUCACAUCGUGUAAUUAUAAGGAGCAGACUGUUUCCUGGAAGCGGGCUGGUUUGGGGUUGCAAAGGCUGCACUUCAAUAAGGGUUGUCAUUAUUGCUGUGUAACUAUUUCUGGUCAUUAUUUGCAGUGAAUUUUGUGGAUGUGAUUCUGAUUGGCGGGUUUGUACGGAGCCCCUAAAGGGACAUGGUGGUAGAAAAAAAAUGGGAAGGAAGGAAAUUUUACAUGGUGGUGGAAAAAAAUUUGGGAUGGGAGGAUUUUUUUUUUUUUUUUUUUUUUAAA